CCUAUACAAAUAACGGCAACCGCGCAAAGCCAGUAGGAAAUUUUCAGACAAAUUUGUUUUGCAACUAUGACGCGCUUAUCUUCAGAUAUCAGCGGAAAAAAUAACACAUAACUGCUUGUGUACGGCAAGAUAUCACACAUGUUCUUCUCUUGCUUAUCGUAACGCCCGACAAUGUAUUGUAUAUAUGUACUAUUUACAAGAUUAGCUACACUAACUACUCUAACUAAAGUAAUUUCUGAAAGUGUCACGAAUUUCCUAUAGCCACUCUUCAGUAUUCCAGCAGCACCUCGAAAGCGACAAAGCUACAAAAACACCAAUAUGAAAUAAAAAAGUAAGGAAAGACCACGUACAUUAAAGUCACUCAAAAUUUGAAAGAACCGAGUGAAGUACAAAUGAACUUCCCUAACUCGAAUCACCAUAAUCCACAAAAAAAAGUUAGAGUUAGUUCAGUAGUAUAAAAGGCAGGGAAAUGCUGAGGUUUGAUGCAUUCGCGAGAUAUUUAUAAUUUAUUUAACCAAAUUAACUAACCACUGUAUUCUUAAUGUCAGUGAUGUUGGUAGAAGGAUACAGUGCUACACGAAAUAUUAUCGUUUUUUUAAAGGAGUUACAAUGGGCCUCCCAAAGGCCUAGGUCCGUUCGUAAUGUAAAUGUAUUCAAGUAAAUACUCUGAAAAUUUCAAGUCAAUCCGAGGGUUAUUUUGGAAGUUACACGAAUAAUUCUAACGACUCGAAGGCGCAUUUGAUAGUAGUGGGCCGGUGUGGCGCCUUGUUUUUCAAAAUUAACAAAAAAAAAAUAUUUUGAAAGCCAAGAUUUAGUCUCAAAGUUUUGUACAACUGUAUUUUCUAGCACUUAUUGGAACUUUAGUUAUGUUUAAGGCUGAAAUCAUGUCAAAAAUCGAUUUUUUUAAAAGCCACCAAUUGUUUUGCGUAUUCCUUCGAUUAAGUACAAUAUUAUAUACUAGCAGACCCGGCCACACCUUUUUGUGGCUAAGGUAUACAUUAAAUUAAGUUGGUCCAAUCUCGGCGACGAUAUUGAUAACAACUCUCACUACUUUUAAUGGCAAAGUGAGUGGUGAUAGUAUAGGCAAUUUUAAAUAGGUUGGGAUAAUUGACUACGUCAUCCUGGUUUGUAGCUGUGUAAACUCUCUUGGACCGAAAUUCUAAAUUGUCGCAUUAAGAUCAUCGAUAUCUUUUUUUUACCACCAAUAUAGGUCAUUCAAUCAGUCAUUUAUGGUUAUCAUAUUGAGCAUUCAUGCCAGGAAAACUUCUCUUUCGAGUCAAUGAAGUGACAGAAAUCUGUUGGAAAUGUUAUUAAUCCAUCGAGGUGUCAACUGCCAACUGCUUCUACAAUCGCAAUUUGAUAUUGUUGUAAAAACACUCAUAUGUUAGUUGUUAAUUGGCGAUUCUUUAUGUGUCGCCACAAUUUAAAUGAUUUUAGGCAUGCGAUUAGCCCGUCAGUAACAGUUGAUCCAGGAAUAAUUGGAAGUCUGGCGUAAAUCAGCUGCUAACAGAAUCCUCCACCAAAAACGUUCAUCGACAAUCAAGAUCUUUUAAAGUCCUGUGCAGUACCUCCAGCGACUUCUUGAAUAUUUGGAAAAUCUUCGUUAAAGCGCUAUUUUUGGCGAUUUUGCCGACUGGUGUUUCGUUCAUUUGCAAUUUAGGAGUAAUUUCAAGGCCGAAUGUGCCGUUUGUUUGCCUACUAACAGGUGCCAAGUUGCCCCUAUUCUCGUUAAUCUUGGUGGUGAAAAUGAGUGAAAUUGGUUCUGGAAUUACAUCAGCCCUCAUAUACUAUGUAUGAUGAUUUUCUAUUGGACUUUAUGGCGAAUAUAUAUGUCAAAUUGUGUGUUAUCUUAUUAAAAUUACAUCAAUAAAUUGCGAGAGUAUAAAAUGUUCGGUUGGACCCGAAUUUAGCCUUUCCUUAUUUGUUACAAAUUGUUUUGGGCUAUCGACACAACCUUAUACAAUUGAACAAUAACAAAAAUAUUAUUUUUUUGUUUUCUCUUUUUAUAUUUUUCUUGUCAACUCGAAUAAAAUUCUCUUAUUAUUAUCUUCCUCGCAAUUUUUCCAUAUUUACUCACUUUCGAAUCUUUUUCUGGCUUUCCACGAAUGUUUCAAGACUAAAAUUAGCCAGAUCGUUUUGGCCGUUCUCGUUUUUUUGCGACACAAGCGAACAGCAAUUCAUUUUUAUAUUAUAUUAUUAUCAAGCGACAAUUUUUUUUAAUUCCGCACACGACCAUUCAGUAGGGAGCCGACCGCGCGAGUGAUCUUAACCCCCCUCCCGUACCCCCGUGCCCGAGUGACGCCUACAACUCUACAACGCAUAGUUAGCCGCCGAGCGGCUUUUCAAAAUUUUUAACUCGUGAUAUCUUUUGAAUGGAAUGUCAGAAUCUAAUAAUUCAAAAAGUUAUAUAAAGGUUUUGAAGCGAUCUUAAAUAAUAAAUCAAUUAAUUUAUUUCGAUAAGGAUUAAUACUAAGAAUUGCUAAUAACGCAUUUGGCAUCAAUGACAGCCUACUAACAGGUUCGAAUUGAUUCAACCCAAUUGUUACCCUUUCGAGAUCGAUGACUAAACUUUCUGUACAAUAAUUGGGGAGGAGGUCCACGAAAUCAUCGCCAACUACAUACAUAUGGAUGGAGUCAUAUGUAGAAGUUCACGUAAGUGAGGAAAGAUUCUGACUGCCAUUCACUUGGGAGUGGCCAGGAACGAUUCUUUUGCUUGUGGUUCAAGCAGCUCACGACUUCCGGCCUUAGACUAAGUAUCCUCUGGGUAGUCAACAGACAUCCGUCUGGAAGCGAGCUAAAUUGAGAAGGCGAAUCCCGCUUAUGCGGUUGUGCGUAGGGUUUGGGACCCACCACAUAAAAACGAAUAACCAAUGAAUAAGAAGCAACAGCCUCGGAUGAGACACCCCCCUUUUGAUGACGACUACAGCAAACGUUUAAAGGACUACGAAAUAAGGGCAUGCACCUGGAAUGUCCGGACCCUUAAUUGGGAAGGUGCCUCUGCCCAGCUGGUUGAUGUUCUCGUAAGAGUAAAGGCUGACAUCACCGCAAUCCAAGAAAUGCGAUGGACGGGACAAGGACGGAAGAAGGUGGGUCCUUGUGACAUCUACUACAGCGGCCAUAUAAAGGAGCGCAAAUUCGGUGUGGGAUUCGUGGUGGGAGAUAGACUCCGUCGUCGAGUCCUGGCAUUCACUCCGGUGGGUAAACGUCUAGCCACAAUUUUCAUCAAAGCGAGGUUCUUCAACAUAUCGCUGAUUUGCGCCCACGCCCCGACGGAAGAGAAGGACGAAGUCAUCAAAGAUACCUUCUAUGAGCGCCUAGAACGUACCUAUGAGUGCUACCCCCGCCACGAUGUCGAAAUCGUGCUUAGCGAUUUCAACGCUAGGGUGGGUAAAGAAGGCGUCUUUGGCACAACAGUCGAAAAACUCAGCCUCCAUGACGAAACAUCGCCAAACGGUCUGAGGCUGAUCGAUUUCGCCGGGGCCAGAAAUAUCGUCGUAGUACUAGAUUCCAGCAUAAAAAAAUCCAUCAAGCUACUUGGCUAUCCCCGGAUCGAAUCACUCGCAACCAGAUCGAUCAUGUUGUGAUAGAUGGACGACAUGUCUCCAGUCUUUUUGAUAUGCGUACGCUUCGUGGUCCCAACAUCGACUCGGACCAUUAUCUUGUAGCAGCUAGGAUACGCACCCGCCUCUGUGUAGAAAAGCGCACACGUCAAGGAAGGUUCGACAUCGAUAAGCUGCUAUCACAACCGACAGCCGAACGAUUUUCUACUCGACUUGCACUCCUGCUCUCUGAGAAAGAGGGAGCGGGAGCUGUGGGACGGCAUAUAAAACUCCUUACGUAUAGCUGCAACCGAAACCAUUUGCUUUCGGAAAAGUAAAAAAAAAAAACAGUUGGUAUAAUGAGGAUUGUCGUCUCGCAGUGGAGAGAAAACAUACUGCCUACCUCGCAAUGUUGCGAUCGACCGCAACACGAGCGGGAUGGGAAAGAUACGGGGAGCUGAAGAGGGAAGCGAGACGCAUUUGCAGACAAAAAAGAAAGAGGCCGAAAUGCGUAAGUAUGAAGAGCUUGACAAGCUGGCCGACAGAGGUAAUGCUCGAAAAAUUUACGAAAAGAUCCGGCGACUAACUGAAGGUUUGAAGACCGGAGCACACUUCUGUAGGACCCCCAGAGGUCAUCAGCCUGCUGAAUGGCAGUGAAAGUACAACACCAGGAGAUGGCGAACCCGAUUCCCCAAUCGACGACGAUGGAACAGAUGUUAUUAGAAUAGCAAUUACCCGCUUGAAGAACAACAAGGCGGCGGGGGCCGAUGGAUUGCCGGCUAUUCAAAUACGGCGGCGAAGAGCUGAUAAGGUGCAUGCAUCAGCUUCUUUGCGGAAUAUGAUCGGAAGAAAGCAUGCCCAACGAUUGGAAUCUCAGUGUACUCUGCCCAAUCCACCAUGCGCCAAAUCUUGGAGAAGACCCGUGAAAAGAGGAUCGACACACACCAUCUAUUUGUCGACUUUAAAGCUGCUUUCGAUAGCACAAAAAGGAGCUGCCUUUAUGCUGCGAUGUCUGAAUUUUGUAUCCCCGCAAAACUAAUACGGCUGUGUAAGCUGACCUUGAGCAACACCAAAAGCUCCGUCAGGAUCGGGAACGACCUCUCCGAGCCGUUCGAUACCAAACGAGGUUUCAGACAAGGUCACGAUAGUGAGUGUGACUUCUUUAACCUGAUGCUUUAAAAAAUAGGUCGAGCCGCUGAGCUAAACAGAGAAGGUACAAUUUUUUAUAAAAGUGUACAGCUAUUGGCGUACGCCGAUGAUAUCGAUAUCAUUGGAAACAACACACGCGCCGUUAGUUCUGCUUUUUCCCGCCUGGAUAAGGAAGCGAAGCGAAUGGGUCUGAUGGUGAACGAGGACAAGACGAAAUAUCUCCUGUCAUCAAACAAACAGUCAGCGCAUUCGCGUCUUGGCUCCCACGUCACUGUUGACAGUCAUAACUUUGAAGUUGUAGAUAAUUUCGUAUACCUAGGAACCAGCAUUAACACCGAUAAUAAUGUCAGCCUUGAAAUCCAACGCAGAAUCAGUCUUGCCAACAGGUGCUACUAUGGACUGAGUAGGCAAUUGAAAAGUAAAGUCCUCUCUCAACGAACAAAAACUAAACUCUACAAGUCUCUCAUCAUUCCCAUCCUACUUUACGGUGCAGAAGCGUGGACGAUGUCAACAUCCGAUGAGACGGCACUAGGAGUUUUCGAGAGAAAGGUUUUGCGGAAGAUUUAUGGUCAUGGUCAUGUUGUUCGAAUGGACGAAAGUGCCCCAGCUCUGAAAGUUUUCGAUGCUGUACCCGCUGGUGGAAGGACCAGGUGGAGAAGGACCUGUCUUCACUUGGUAUUACCAAUUGUCGCCAAACUGCCAAACGGAGAGAUGCGUGGCGCGCUGUUGUGGACUCGGCUAUAACCGCGUAAGCGGUUUCUACGCCAGUCAAGAAGAAGAAGUUAAUGAACAUGAGGAUUUUUUAAUGUUUAUUACAACUAUUUUUCUUGAGCCAAAAUUUGAUCAAAAAAUUACUAUCGAAAUCAUUUUGGUUUAUUCAUUUUGGUUGAAUCAAUGAUGAGUUAUGCUCUUCACCGUAAGACCUUUGGUUUUUGAGAUCUCAAGUGAGUUGUGUUACCAACGGCUGAAUUUUCAGUAUUUUUGAAUAAAAUUUUCACAAAAUACUGUUUAAAUAUGUAUAUUUUUGAUAUGCCAAAUUGUUUAAAUGAAAUAUUUGUUUGUAUAUAUUAAAAAAAUGCAAUAAAUAUAG